rnacentral:rRNA from 1 species
UGGGGAAUUUUGGACAAUGGGCGAAAGCCUGAUCCAGCAAUGCCGCGUGUGUGAAGAAGGCCUUCGGGUUGUAAAGCACUUUUGUCCGGAAAGAAAUCCUUGGCUCUAAUACAGUCGGGGGAUGACGGUACCGGAAGAAUAAGCACCGGCUAACUACGUGCCAGCAGCCGCGGUAAUACGUAGGGUGCAAGCGUUAAUCGGAAUUACUGGGCGUAAAGCGUGCGCAGGCGGUUUGCUAAGACCGAUGUGAAAUCCCCGGGCUCAACCUGGGAACUGCAUUGGUGACUGGCAGGCUAGAGUAUGGCAGAGGGGGGUAGAAUUCCACGUGUAGCAGUGAAAUGCGUAGAGAUGUGGAGGAAUACCGAUGGCGAAGGCAGCCCCCUGGGCCAAUACUGACGCUCAUGCACGAAAGCGUGGGGAGCAAACAGGAUUAGAUACCCUGGUAGUCCACGCCCUAAACGAUGUCAACUAGUUGUUGGGGAUUCAUUUCCUUAGUAACGUAGCUAACGCGUGAAGUUGACCGCCUGGGGAGUACGGUCGCAAGAUUAAAACUCAAAGGAAUUGACGGGGUCAUGCUGUUUCCU